CCUACGGGAGGCAGCAGUGAGGAAUAUUGGUCAAUGGCCGAGAGGCUGAACCAGCCAAGUCGCGUGAGGGAAGACGGCCCUACGGGUUGUAAACCUCUUUUGUCGGGGAGCAAAGCGAGUCACGUGUGACUCAUUGAGAGUACCCGAAGAAAAAGCAUCGGCUAACUCCGUGCCAGCAGCCGCGGUAAUACGGAGGAUGCGAGCGUUAUCCGUAUUUAUUGGGUUAAAAGGGUGCGCAGGCGGAGGGGCAAGUCAGCGGUCAAAUUGCGGGGUUAAACCCCGGACUGCCGUUGAAACUGCAUGCCUUGAGUGCGCGAGAAGUAUGCGGAAUGCGUGGUGUAGCGGUGAAAUGCAUAGAUAUCACGAAGAACUCAGAUUGCGAAGGCAGCAUACCGGCGCGCAACUGACGCUGAUGCACGAAAGCGUGGGUAUCGAACAGGAUUAGAUACCCCUGUAGUC
rnacentral:rRNA from 1 species